GAUGAACGCUGGCGGCGUGCCUAAUACAUGCAAGUCGAACGGGGAGUCGCAAUACUCUUAGUGGCGAACGGGUGAGUAACGCGUUGGUACCUGCCCCGAAGCGGGGGAUAACGGACCGAAAGGUCCGCUAAUACCCCAUGUGCUCGGUAACGAGUAAAGGUGAAAACCACUUUGGGAGGGGCAUGCGUCCCAUCAGCUAGUUGGUAAGGUAACGGCUUACCAAGGCGAUGACGGGUAGGGGACCUGAGAGGGUGGCCCCCCACAAUGGAACUGAAACACGGUCCAUACACCUACGGGUGGCAGCAGUAGGGAAUAUUGGUAAUGGGCGCAAGCCUGAACCAGCAACGCCGCGUGUGCGAUGACGGCCUUCGGGUUGUAAAGCACUUUUGACGGGGACGAGGAAGGACGGUACCGGUCGAAUCAGCCUCGGCUAACUACGUG
rnacentral:rRNA from 1 species